rnacentral:rRNA from 1 species
CCUACGGGAGGCAGCAGUGGGGAAUCUUGCGCAAUGGGCGCAAGCCUGACGCAGCGACGCCGCGUGAGGGAUGAAGGUCUUCGGAUCGUAAACCUCUGUCAGCAGGGAAGAACGGUCACUGUGCUAAUCAGCAGUGCAUUGACGGUACCUGCAAAGGAAGCACCGGCUAACUCCGUGCCAGCAGCCGCGGUAAUACGGAGGGUGCGAGCGUUAAUCGGAAUUACUGGGCGUAAAGCGCUCGUAGGCGGUAUGUCAAGUCAAGGGUGAAAUCCCCGCGCUCACCGUGGGAACUGCCUUUGAAACUGGCAAACUGGAGUGUGUGAGAGGAUAGUGGAAUUCCAGGUGUAGGAGUGAAAUCCGUAGAUAUCUGGAGGAACAUCAGUGGCGAAGGCGACUAUCUGGCACAUAACUGACGCUGAGGAGCGAAAGCGUGGGUAGCAAACAGGAUUAGAUACCCUUGUAGUC